GAGGACUCCCCCGUCCACACAUGAGGAAUGCAAACGCCCGCCCAGCUGAGGACGGCCAGGAGCACACCUGCCCGGGAUUGCUGGGUCACGAGACGGGGAAAGCGCUCGGAGAGGCGGGGUACCUUGCAGCAUCACCUACCAGCAAAUGGGGCAUCAGGGAGCAUGGACUCUUCUCUACUGGUUGGAGGGCGAAGAAUGCUGAUGCUUCUGAGCAAACCCAGCCCUUUAAAAACGGCCUCCGGGAGAGCUGGUGUGGAGGCCCGGCCGGGGUGACUGGAGCCUAAGGAGCAAGGGGCCAGGCUGGCCAGAAGCACGAUCAUGCGGUCAGGGGCCUGCAAACAGCUAUCUUCUCCGGUGACCAGAGCCCGCCAAGUCUGCACCUGGAAACCCAAGAAAUAUCUAGAGGAUUAAUUCCCCUUGCUGACCUGUGAGGUCGACGAGCCCUGGGGUGGACCCCAGGAGCUCAGAGUCCUGCUUGCUGCCUGCUUGCCACGUAUGUCCAUGCACAGGCAGGCCACCUGCUCAGCCUCAGCCGGGGCGGGGUGGGGGGGGUGGGUUCUGUUGCUUUGGGAUCUGGGGACAGUCUUGUGAACUGGCAUUCCUGGGUUGAGGGGGACAAAUCACAAUUUUUGGUAUUUCUUGACAAUCCCCCAGCAAGCAACCCUAAAUCCACUCAAGACAAGGCCUUGGUUCAGCCAACAUAUCUGUGGGGUGAGUGGAAAAGGUGGGGGUGGGGGCACCUGCUGAGAAGUGAGGAGCCCCAGGAGGUGAAACUGGGAUAGAGAACAUCCAGAAAAUGUGAGCUCCAGGGGCACAGCGGGGUGGGGGGGGGUGGGGGGGGAGAAGCCCUCCGAAUUCACUGGGGAGUGGAGAGUGUAUGGCCAGGUAACUGGCUCUCAGGGAGUGGGCUGGGCUCCCUCUAUUUUCAAACACAGUACAAUUUCCUGCCCAGGUGUCUUCGCCCCUCCUGCCGCUAACGAGUUCCAGCUUCUCAGGAGAGGGGAGCGUCCCGGCAAGCCCAGCACUGCUGCUCUUGACAUAACUGGGCCCAAAGACGCCCAUCCUUGGGCUCCACAAGUGCAGCUGGGCUCCCAGAACCUUCACCACACACAAAUUUGGGAGACCCUGUAUUCUGAGUUCCAACCUGCGCAGGACUACCUCAGUUAAUCCUCCACCAAAAAAAGAAAGGAAAAAAGGAAAGAAAUUGUAAAAAUAUAUGCAAAUCAGUUCACUGGCCCAACAGAACUGUUUUAAUAAUCCACUCUCGUUUCAAGAGGAUGGGGGAGGACAUCCCAACUGGACCCCAGGAAGCCCUUCCUGUCCCAGAGCGGCCAGGCGGGUGAGGAGGGCUGGCUUGGCGGCCGCUGCCCGAUGCACACUGCAAGAACAAUAAGGAUUUUUAGGGGCAUUAUGACUGAGUCAGAAAACACAGCUGCCCCUGAAAGUCCCUCAUUUUUCUUGCUGUCCUUGAACACUCUCCAGGUAAGUAAGCAGUCAACCGGCUGGCCCAGGGGAGCCGAGGUGGAGAUGGCAUCCCCUCACCCGACGGCCCCUGAAGGCUCUGUGGUGGGUAGGGUGGCUGCCGGGUCUUCACGGUGGCACAACUCCCUCCGGUGUUGGGCCUGGAGGGUGGCCAGCCUCACUGCCCCCACAGCACGCCCAGGAAUGACCAGCCUUUGCUCCACCCCGAGCCAACUCUAAAGCCAGUGCUUUCUGCCCACAAAGUGCGGUGGACUGGAAUGCACAGGAAUCCCAAGUGGCCGAGGGCAGUCCCAAGCACCAGGGAAUGCGAGGCAGUAAGAGAAUUUCAGCUCUGUUGUAGGAACCAAAGGAUCAGCUCUUGAAAAGCCCAGUCACAGGCCCUGUGUCCCUGGCGGGAGACAAGAGGCUACCUUGAGUGAGAAACAGCAUGCCCUGGGGGUCCGUCCAGCCUUCCCUCUGCUCUAGCACUUAACUGCCCGCUUCCUCGGAGGGAGCUCUGGAAGAGGCAACAGUGUCAGGUGGGCCUGAGCCGGAACGCAGGUCCCAGACCCCUACAAAAACAGCCUACAAUGCGCAGACGGCUGGUAUCUCCCAGAUGGUUUUCAGGUUCGAAUCAACCCGGCGACAGGCUCUGCUGGGACGCGCAGCCUUCUGCCCUGACCAAGAUCACGGCCAUACGCUCCUCCAGCAAAGCGCGAGCUGUCCCCCACAGACACAAGGACCAAAGCCAUCUGAACCAUUCGACGCUGUGACUGCACCGUGCUUCGCCUGCUCAGAAGCCCCGGCCGCAGUCUGCACACUUCCGCGGGAGCCGGUCCUGCCACCUGGGGUGCCCUGGCUCCAGUAGAGUGGGAGGGAGCGAGAGCGUGAGACCCAGCUCGCGGCUCCCCGGCCCCGCGGCCACAGGACCUCUGUUGGGCUCUCCAACCCCACUGUGCUUCAGCCGGCCCCUCUGCGAGGCCGAGACCCGGGGCACUACAGGUUUCGGGGGCAGCUGGGAGGAUUAAAGUUCAUUCUUCUCAAGGCUUAGCACUCUGCCUGGCCCAGAGCAAUCCAUCCGGGUGUACUGGUUCAGGGACUAUCUCAGACUGCUUUCACGCCGGAACAGAAGAGGAGAGCUGCCACAGACAGUAACCCUAUUUGGUCCCCUCACAGGGAAACCUCACCGCCAGCUUCUCACGAAGCACUCCUACAAAUGACUCCCAGAAAUUUCCUCAUCGCCGGAGAUUUCUAAACCCCCAGUUGGGAAAGAGGUUCUGGGCUCCACUGAUGAGCUCUGCCUAACCCAGCUCUGGGCAGAUUUCUAGGAGGGAUUUUACUCCGCGAUUGGGAAACAUGUUUCGCCUGACAAAACGUCUGGGAUAAGAAGGUGAGAGGGGAUGCUGGCGCGCGAGGGGGUCUGCACACUAGAGAGCGCCUUGGGCAGGGCCUCGCUCCCAAAGCCCGACGCCUGGAGGGGCGUGGCCAGCACCCGCGAGCGGGGCCAGGCCAAUCCUCCCAACCAACCACAGCUGCCCGCGACCUCCAGGACUAUAUUUAGUCAGGGCUGACUGCCCUUCA